rnacentral:rRNA from 1 species
GAUGAACGCUGGCGGCGUGCCUAACACAUGCAAGUCGAACGGAAAGGCCCUGCUCUUGCUGCGUGCUCGAGUGGCGAACGGGUGAGUAACACGCGAGUAACCUGUCCUUGUCUUUGGGAUAACUUCAGGAAACUGGGGCUAAAACAGCAUAUGAGCUCCUGCAGCACGGUGUGGGUUGGAAAGUUUCGGCCGUUCGGGCUGGACUCGCAGCUUAUCAGCUUGUUGGUGGGGUAGUGGCUUACCAAGGCUAUGACGGGUAGCCGGCCUGAGAGGGUUGCCGGCCACAUUGGGCCUGAGAUACGGCCCAGACUCCAACGGGACGCAGCAGUGGGGAGUAUUGCAGAAUGGGCGGAAGCGUGAUGCAGCAACGCCGCGUGCGGGAUGACGUCCUUCGGGUUGUAAACCGCUUUCUCCUGUGACGAAGCGUGAGUGACGGUAAUGGGUAAAGAAGCACCGGCUAACUACGUG